rnacentral:lncRNA from 1 species
UGGGAAACCACAUGCAAUGUAGGAAACUAGGUUGCAGGGUGGCAAGGACCAGCUGGUGACACUUAACUGCCAAAGGCAAGGUGCACAUGGUGACUCUGGUAGAUGGAAGAGUCAGAGGUGACCAGAACGGUCUGAUUCCUGGAGACUGAUUGGCUAUUAAUCAUGGUAUUCGUAGACAUGAAAAAGGUUAAAGUCUACUAAAUUGUUACCAGAUCUGUGUACGCAGACAACAGUCAAACCUGGAUCAUAGAUACAGCUCCUGUCGAUUCCCCAAUUCAGUUAGUCUAUAGAACUGGAAUCCCUCGUAUGAGGCAGAGUCCUUUAAUAAAGGAACCUCUUCACUGCCAAAAAUUUACACUGUCAACAUGUCCCCCACUCUCUUGGUCUUCACCAGAGUAACUCUUGCGGACUACCAGAAGGAGGUCCUGAACCACUUCCCAGUCAGAGUAGGGGCUUUUGCAGAUCAGAGGACCCCUGGGGUGGACAGGCAGCACUUGGCAGGUGAUUAUGCUGGACUACCUCUGUCAUGGAAGCGGUGAUUUUUUGGUCCUAUUGAAAUAAACACUUGGAUAUAGAUUUGCUUUCCCUGAACACAGCACACCUGCCAAAGCUACCAGAAGUGGAUGUCUGUGACGCCUAACUCCCCAUCACAGCAUUCCACACACUGCUUCCAAGGAAAUCAGAUCGCAGCAAAUAAAGGGUGGCAGCAGGCCAUGCUCACGGAAUUCACAGGUCUUCCCACGGGGAACACGGGAAGGAACACAGCCCAGCCCGGUGGGCUCCACAGGUCGAGUGGAUUUCGAACCCAGUUACAGCACCAGCCAGGGGGCAAUGCCUUGCAGGGCUGAGGCAAGGUUCCCCAAGAGGCUGCACACGCUAUGAACUGAUUCCGAGAAAUGGUAAUGUCCCAAAGCCAGAACUCAGCGGUCUAGGAAUCGAGGGGUGGAAAUGUGAAUGCCAUCACUCACCAUGAAAAUGAAAGUGAAAUGUUUGCUUCCUGUCCCUGUGGCCUGAGUUCAAAGAGAGGUGCUUCCAUGAAGAGACAUGAUAAUGACUUACUGUACUGGGAGUGACGACUGCCACCCAGCCAUGGGCUGGGGUGUGGCUCAACCACAGAGUUCUACCUUAGCAUGUGCCACACUGGGAUUGGAUCUCCAGAACGGAAAAUAAAAAUGGCAGAUUCUGCUGUAAGAAACUCAUAAAAAUUAGACAAAUUAAAGCCAGGUAAAAGAAGACUUUCAUUAAACAUUGUACUGAAAGUUUUGAAGAGACAUUAGACUUCUAUUCAGUAAUGAACAGAAAGUUUUAGCCACUAUUAUUGGGCAAUAAAAAUAAAUUAAAAUUGCCAGAAUUGAUAAGAAUGAAGCAAAAGUAUUUUAUGGAGAAAAUUCUCUGAUGUCUAUAAAAAUGACAGAAAUCCCUAAUAAACCUAAAAUAUACCUACUAGAAUCAGUUCCUGAAGUUUGAAG